rnacentral:tRNA from 2 species
GGAGGUGUAGCUGAGUGGUAAAGCACAUGCUUAGCAUGCAUGAGGCCCUGGGUUCAAUUACCAGCACCACCU